rnacentral:rRNA from 1 species
AACGAACGCUGGCGGCAUGCCUAACACAUGCAAGUCGAACGAGACCUUCGGGAGUAGUUGCGCACGGGUGCGUAACGCGUGGGAACCUGCCCUUAGGUUCGGAAUAACUCCCCGAAGGGGGUGCUAAUACCGGAUAAUGUCUUCGGACCAAAGAUUUAUCGCCUUUGGAUGGGCCCGCGUUGGAUUAGCUAGUUGGUAGGGUAAAAGCCUACCAAGGCGACGAUCCAUAGCUGGUCUGAGAGGAUGAUCAGCCACACUGGGACUGAGACACGGCCCAGACUCCUACGGGAGGCAGCAGUGGGGAAUAUUGGACAAUGGGCGAGAGCCUGAUCCAGCAAUGCCGCGUGAGUGAUGAAGGCCGUAGGGAUGUAAAGCUCUUUUACCCGCGAUGAUAAUGACAGUACCGGGAGAAUAAGCUCCGGCAAACUCCGU